rnacentral:rRNA from 1 species
UACGGAGGGUGCAAGCGUUGUCCGGAAUCACUGGGCGUAAAGGGCGCGUAGGCGGCUCAUGAAGGCUGUGGUGAAAGUCCGGGGCUCAACCUCGGAUCGGCCGUGGCGACUCGUGGGCUGGAGCACUGUAGAGGCGGGUGGAAUUCCGGGUGUAGCGGUGGAAUGCGUAGAGAUCCGGAAGAACACCGGUGGCGAAGGCGGCCUGCUGGGCUAUGGGCUGACACUGAGGCGCGACAGCGUGGGGAGCAAACAGGG